rnacentral:rRNA from 1 species
UACGUAGGCAGCGAGCGUUGUUCGGAGUUACUGGGCGUAAAGGGUGCGUAGGCGGUUGUUUAAGUUUGGUGUGAAAUCUCCCCGGCUCAACUGGGAGGGUGCGCCGAAUACUGAAUGACUAGAGUGCGGGAGAGGAUAGUGGAAUUCCGUGGUGUAGCGGUGAAAUGCGUAGAUAUCAGGAGGAACACCGGUGGUGUAGACGGCUAUCUGGACCGUAACUGGACGCUGAGGCACGGAAAGCGUGGGUAGCAAACAGG